rnacentral:rRNA from 1 species
AUGAACGCUAGCUACAGGCUUAACACAUGCAAGUCGAGGGGCAGCAUGGUCUUAGCUUGCUAAGGCCGAUGGCGACCGGCGCACGGGUGAGUAACACGUAUCCAACCUGCCGUCUACUCUUGGACAGCCUUCUGAAAGGAAGAUUAAUACAAGAUGGCAUCAUGAGUCCGCAUGUUCACAUGAUUAAAGGUAUUCCGGUAGACGAUGGGGAUGCGUUCCAUUAGAUAGUAGGCGGGGUAACGGCCCACCUAGUCUUCGAUGGAUAGGGGUUCUGAGAGGAAGGUCCCCCACAUUGGAACUGAGACACGGUCCAAACUCCUACGGGAGGCAGCAGUGAGGAAUAUUGGUCAAUGGGCGAGAGCCUGAACCAGCCAAGUAGCGUGAAGGAUGACUGCCCUAUGGGUUGUAAACUUCUUUUAUAAAGGAAUAAAGUCGGGUAUGCAUACCCGUUUGCAUGUACUUUAUGAAUAAGGAUCGGCUAACUCCGUGCCAGCAGCCGCGGUAAUACGGAGGAUCCGAGCGUUAUCCGGAUUUAUUGGGUUUAAAGGGAGCGUAGAUGGAUGUUUAAGUCAGUUGUGAAAGUUUGCGGCUCAACCGUAAAAUUGCAGUUGAUACUGGAUAUCUUGAGUGCAGUUGAGGCAGGCGGAAUUCGUGGUGUAGCGGUGAAAUGCUUAGAUAUCACGAAGAACUCCGAUUGCGAAGGCAGCCUGCUAAGCUGCAACUGACAUUGAGGCUCGAAAGUGUGGGUAUCAAACAGGAUUAGAUACUCUGGUAGUCCACACGGUAAACGAUGAAUACUCGCUGUUUGCGAUAUACAGCAAGCGGCCAAGCGAAAGCGUUAAGUAUUCCACCUGGGGAGUACGCCGGCAACGGUGAAACUCAAAGGAAUUGACGGGGGCCCGCACAAGCGGAGGAACAUGUGGUUUAAUUCGAUGAUACGCGAGGAACCUUACCCGGGCUUAAAUUGCAGAUGAAUUACGGUGAAAGCCGUAAGCCGCAAGGCAUCUGUGAAGGUGCUGCAUGGUUGUCGUCAGCUCGUGCCGUGAGGUGUCGGCUUAAGUGCCAUAACGAGCGCAACCCUUGUUGUCAGUUACUAACAGGUUCCGCUGAGGACUCUGACAAGACUGCCAUCGUAAGAUGUGAGGAAGGUGGGGAUGACGUCAAAUCAGCACGGCCCUUACGUCCGGGGCUACACACGUGUUACAACGGGGGGUACAGAGGGCCGCUACCACGCGAGUGGAUGCCAAUCCCAAAAACCUCUCUCAGUUCGGACUGGAGUCUGCAACCCGACUCCACGAAGCUGGAUUCGCUAGUAAUCGCGCACCAGCCACGGCGCGGUGAAUACGUUCCCGGGCCUUGUACACACCGCCCGUCAAGCCAUGGGAGCCGGGGGUACCUGAAGUGCGUAACCGCGAGGAGCGCCCUAGGGUAAAACUGGUGACUGG